rnacentral:lncRNA from 1 species
AUUCCAGGGAAUGUUCACAUUACUCGACGGUAUUGUAUAGGAGAACAUAUAAGAUUUUGACUUGUUUUUGUUCCUUAUUAUAUCCCGUUUGUUGGAACGACAAUUUGAGACCUAGUCUCCGAGGUUGUCAUCAGUCGUCCGAUUGUGAUACUACUACUAAGGUUACAAAACUUGGAAUGGGGCCACCUAGUCGAGGCAGCUAGAGCAGGGGCCAUAUCCCGAACCAGAUGACCCUGCCACGAAAAUUGCAGCUCGGAAAAGGGAUUCAAUUUGUAACUUAGACACUAGCGGUGACAUGGAUUGUAGUGAGCUUCAG